UAUUGCGCAAUGGGGGCAACCCUGACGCAGCCAUGCCGCGUGAAUGAAGAAGGCCUUCGGGUUGUAAAGUUCUUUCGGUGAUGAGGAAGGAGGAUGUUUAAAUAGGGCAUUCAAUUGACGUUAAUCACAGAAGAAGCACCGGCUAACUCCGUGCCAGCAGCCGCGGUAAUACGGAGGGUGCGAGCGUUAAUCGGAAUAACUGGGCGUAAAGGGCACGCAGGCGGAUAAUUAAGUGAGAUGUGAAAUCCCCGAGCUUAACUUGGGAAUUGCAUUUCAUACUGGUUAUCUAGAGUCUUGUAGAGAGGGGUAGAAUUCCACGUGUAGCGGUGAAAUGCGUAGAGAUGUGGAGGAAUACCGGAGGCGAAGGCGGCCCCUUGGACAAAGACUGACGCUCAUUGCGAA
rnacentral:rRNA from 1 species